rnacentral:rRNA from 1 species
GACGAACGCUGGCGGCGUGCCUAAUACAUGCAAGUCGAACGCUUCUUUUUCCACCGGAGCUUGCUCCACCGGAAAAAGAGGAGUGGCGAACGGGUGAGUAACACGUGGGUAACCUGCCCAUCAGAAGGGGAUAACACUUGGAAACAGGUGCUAAUACCGUAUAACAAUCGAAACCGCAUGGUUUUGAUUUGAAAGGCGCUUUCGGGUGUCGCUGAUGGAUGGACCCGCGGUGCAUUAGCUAGUUGGUGAGGUAACGGCUCACCAAGGCCACGAUGCAUAGCCGACCUGAGAGGGUGAUCGGCCACAUUGGGACUGAGACACGGCCCAAACUCCUACGGGAGGCAGCAGUAGGGAAUCUUCGGCAAUGGACGAAAGUCUGACCGAGCAACGCCGCGUGAGUGAAGAAGGUUUUCGGAUCGUAAAACUCCGUUGUUAGAGAAGAACAAGGAUGAGAGUAACUGUUCAUCCCUUGACGGUAUCUAACCAGAAAGCCACGGCUAACUACGUGCCAGCAGCCGCGGUAAUACGUAGGUGGCAAGCGUUGUCCGGAUUUAUUGGGCGUAAAGCGAGCGCAGGCGGUUUCUUAAGUCUGAUGUGAAAGCCCCCGGCUCAACCGGGGAGGGUCAUUGGAAACUGGGAGACUUGAGUGCAGAAGAGGAGAGUGGAAUUCCAUGUGUAGCGGUGAAAUGCGUAGAUAUAUGGAGGAACACCAGUGGCGAAGGCGGCUCUCUGGUCUGUAACUGACGCUGAGGCUCGAAAGCGUGGGGAGCAAACAGGAUUAGAUACCCUGGUAGUCCACGCCGUAAACGAUGAGUGCUAAGUGUUGGAGGGUUUCCGCCCUUCAGUGCUGCAGCUAACGCAUUAAGCACUCCGCCUGGGGAGUACGACCGCAAGGUUGAAACUCAAAGGAAUUGACGGGGGCCCGCACAAGCGGUGGAGCAUGUGGUAUAAUUCGAAGCAACGCGAAGAACCUUACCAGGUCUUGACAUCCUUUGACCACUCUAGAGAUAGAGCUUCCCCUUCGGGGGCAAAGUGACAGGUGGUGCAUGGUUGUCGUCAGCUCGUGUCGUGAGAUGUUGGGUUAAGUCCCGCAACGAGCGCAACCCUUAUUGUUAGUUGCCAUCAUUCAGUUGGGCACUCUAGCAAGACUGCCGGUGACAAACCGGAGGAAGGUGGGGAUGACGUCAAAUCAUCAUGCCCCUUAUGACCUGGGCUACGCACGUGCUACAAUGGGAAGUACAACGAGUCGCGAAGUCGCGAGGCUAAGCUAAUCUCUUAAAGCUUCUCUCAGUUCGGAUUGCAGGCUGCAACUCGCCUGCAUGAAGCCGGAAUCGCUAGUAAUCGCGGAUCAGCACGCCGCGGUGAAUACGUUCCCGGGCCUUGUACACACCGCCCGUCACACCACGAGAGUUUGUAACACCCGAAGUCGGUGAGGUAACCUUUUGGAGCCAGCCGCCUAAGGUGGGAU